AGUCAACAGCCACUUCCUCCCUGGGGCUUAACAGGCAUUCCUUGAAGCCUGCCCCGGGCAGUUAGUCCUUCCCUUUUGUGUGAACUCUCGGCUGUUUUCGUUGUCUGCACACAGAGCAGUGGUCUAGGGAGCGAAGGGUUUUGGAAUGGACCUUUUCCUUUCUUAGCUUGCUGUAGGGAUUGUGCUUCAGCUAAGUAAAGUGGAAAAACAGAAGUACAAAAGCAACAGCCCCAGAUCUAAGGGCACCGUAGCUCUGGAAUCUGGAUUUUAUUCCAGAUUCAACCCUCAGCAGGGAGUUGAAGUGGUCAGCCCUGUGCUUUACAAGGCUGAUUGGGCAGCACCCAUAGUAGAAUUGUCAAUAUAAAGUAAUUGAAAGGAUCAGAAUCCAGGGUUUUCGUUGUUUUUAAGUUUUUAAGUUUUAAAAACAAAGUUGUUUUUGUUCGUUUUUAAGUUUACUUCUCUUUAAUCGGUCUCACUUUAUUGACCAGGCUGGUUUCGAACUCCUGGGCUUAAGUGAUUUCUCCUGUCUCAGCUUCUCAAAGUGCUGGGAUUACAGGCGUGAGCCGCUGCACCCAGCCCAGAAUCCAGUUUUAAAGAGUUUAUUCAAGCCAAAAGCUGGGAAUGGCCAUCUGAGAAACACAGACUCUAGGAAAAUGGGGCCAGGGCCCUGAAGUUAAAAGUUAAAGUCUUGCUUACAUAGGCAGAAAGCAAAGACAUUUAGUAACCUUGUAGAACAUUUUCUUGUAUAACUUUUCUUGUUUUAACUUUCUUGUUUAACAUUUUCUAUGCAAGGCUGGUUUAUGAGUUACAACCUAUAAUUAAUUAUAGGUUGUUCCCCUGCCUCCACCUUGUUUUCUUUUCUCUACAGCUUGUUUUCAUUUCCUUUCCAAUUUAAGAAUGUGUUUAACAUUCUAUCCCAGACAAUGUGAUGGUCAUGAAGUCUCUGUCAGAGAGGAAAGAGGGAGUUAAUCUAUAAUGAAGAUCAACAGUGAAGAGGAAAGGGGUCUUCCCUGGAACGCUUCAGUCAUAUACGACAUUUUACACAACAAUGAAUGGACCUGUGUAAGGAGGUAUGUGUGGGAGAAGAUUCCAGAAGGUCUUGAGACACUCCAGAUGAAGGUUGGUGUGGGGCUGUGCUGCUGGAGCACCAGAGAGUGAAAAGAGGGUUAUCUCCCUCUGUGCCAGGCCAGAGUGCAGUGGUGCAAUCACGGCUCACUGUAGUCUCAACCUCCUGGGCUCAAGAGAUCCUCCCACUUCAGCCUCCCAAGCAGCUAAGACUACAGGUUAUUUUAUUCUUAUGAGCUUGUGGGCUCCAUCUACCAACCUCUGGGCAAAUGCUCAUCUGACUUCCAUAGACACACAGCAAGCAGACAACCACACAAAGAGGAAGAGGGAGAAUAUUUACCAGCCAUGGAACAUCUGCUCUGUGCUUAUAUCUCAUAUGCAUUAUCUCUAAUUAUCAAAAGAAGGGUUAGAAGCAAGGCACAAGUCAUACCUACAUUCAAGGAGAGGGGACCAUGCAAAGGAUAAACUGCAGGAGAGACAACAGAUUUACAUCCCAGACACAUUCACACUGGGCCAAGAGCAGCUGCCAUUGCAGAUUCGAGUCACGUCCUUUUUUCCUUCCUUCUCCUUCUUGGAGUUACAACAGAAGCUGGGGAGGUGAGAGUGCAGGAAAGGACGUGGAUGAAGCAGAGAGGCACGUGCCUGUCUCAUUCGCCUCUGGAUCUGCUGCAUCCAGGACUGUGCCAGCACAAAGUGGGAGCCCGAUAAAUAUUUAUUGAAGAAAUGAAAGGUGACAAAAGGCAGAAGGAGGGAGACCCCAAAAAGAGGAGAUGGGAUCCCACUAUAUUGCACAGGCUGGUCUCAAACUCCUGAGCUCAAGCGAUCCUCCUGCCUUGGCCUCCCACGGUGCUGAGACUACAGGUGUGAGCCACCACUCCCAGCCUGAUUUAUAUUUUAUAAAGAGGCAACGAUGGAGUACACAGCUGAGCAAUCUCUUGCAUUUCUGGACCUUGAGCAUCAGGAAGCUUAGGGAGGGUGAAAACUCAGAAGAAAGCUCAGAGUUGAGACCUUUGAUUUUUUGCCCAGAGAGUCCAGCUAACACACUUUAUAACCCAAAAGGCCUUACAAAUAUUUCAGAGCAGAGGCAGCAUUUUUGCACUGGAUAAACAAAGGUACGGUAAUUUCUUCAUAGUUUAUUUUCAUUACAAGUAAUUCUUUUCCUGAAGAAAAAUUUAUAUUUCAGAUUUAUUUCCCCUCUCAAAGGGGAGGGGAGUUAUAAUAUUCUGUUUCCAUAGCACCAUUCCUCAAGAUCAAACCCAGGCAGGCAUUUUUACAGCACACACUUCCAUAUGUCAUUGCUAAUCCUCGCAACCUUGAGGAAACUGAGGUGCAAAGGGGUUGAGGAAUGUGUUCACCAUCCCAAAGCCAACGAAGUGCCAGAACCCAAAUCCAAGCUUGGCUGUCUCAUCCCCAAGGACGUACUCUUUAUGCCGUUCCUUAUGACUUUUCAUGCAGCAGGUGCAAGGCAGCAAGAAUUUGGCUCUUCUGACAUUUAUCAGGCACCUGGUAUGUGCCAGGCCUACUGUAAACCCCAAGAUGACAUGGUCCAUGUCUAUCCAUUCAGCAUCAGAGAGACUGUUAUCAGGACUUGAGGCCUGAGACACAGCCCUGAAUCAGAUGCAGGCCUCUGGUGUUUGCAAAGGAUGCGUGAGUAUGUGUAUGUGUAUGCGUGCAUUGUGUGUAGGGGUGUGUGUAUGUUGGGGGUUGGGGGCAGAAAAUGCUCCCUGAACUGUUGGUAUUAAGGCAGAUCUUUGAUGGAGGGACUGGGGUGUGGAGACUUGAACCCUAGUUUCAAAGUGGGGACCUCGAACACUAGUAUGGCCAGCAGACAGGCUGGAGUUGCUGAAUUGUCAGCUAGGUCUUUAAUCCACUCCCCUUCUCUAAAUCAGGGUGGAAUUGGACUCAGGGCUGGUUCAGGGCUGAGGUUUCCGGGGGAUGAAUGAUUCCAGACAGUGGGAAGGGGUGAUGGAUGAUGAACCUGGCAAGUCACAGGACUAUGGACUUGGCUGUAUGUUGCAUGUAUGUGUAAGAUCUGAGUUGAGACCUUUGAUUUUUGCCCAGAAAGUCCAGCUAACAUACUAUAUAAGCCAGUGAGACCAGCCAGUGUCUGUUCAUUGCCUCUGCCUUGCCCCUAUGCCUGCCCGCCUCCUAUAGCAGGUCCCUAUAGCAUAAUGAAAAUGCGAACAACCUUUUCUCUGGACACUGGGGAAUCUAGUCUGGUGGAUAAAGAUGGAUGGCUGUUAAACGAUC
rnacentral:lncRNA from 1 species